CGACACUCGGGGCCCCCCUCCCUGGGGGCCCCGGCGUUGGGGAUCGGGGACCGCCCAGGCGCCCCCGUCCCCCAAAUUCAGUGGCGGCCCCGACGUCGCCUCCCCGCGUAGUAACUCACGCCGCGGUGGAGAGCGCGUCGCGGCCACGCCGUGAAACACCCCACAACCCCUCAGG
rnacentral:misc_RNA from 1 species